UACAGAGGGGGCAAGCGUUGUUCGGAAUUACUGGGCGUAAAGGGCGCGUAGGCGGCCUGUUAAGUCGAACGUGAAAUCCCCGGGCUCAACCCGGGAACUGCGUCCGAUACUGGCAGGCCUUGAAUCCGGGAGAGGGAUGCGGAAUUCCAGGUGUAGCGGUGAAAUGCGUAGAUAUCUGGAGGAACACCGGUGGCGAAGGCGGCAUCCUGGUCCAGCAUCGACGUUCAGGCACGAAAGCGUGGGGAG
rnacentral:rRNA from 1 species